CAAUUCCUACUUAUUCACAUAGUCAUCUCUCACUUAAUACAAAGUCUUGCCGAGCAGAUCACUUCCCAUCGACUUCUGCGUCCCUGUGGGACACGGGCUCCGUACAGGUGGAGAAGCUUCAGGUUCAGAAAGUCGGCCGGCUGAGAGUCCUAAAGCCGCCGCAUCUGCCUUCGGAGCUCCCUGGGCCCGCAGUCUGCACACGCUCUCCUCCUCUGUCACUCCUCCUGACUUGACGUCCCGUGCGGUUUCCGUCGUGCUGUGGCAUAGACCGGGUGGUGUCAUCUAUUUGUUAUGAGUGGCUCAGGGACUCAAGUACAGGCCUUAGUCUUGUGCUCUCCCUACCGUCUACACCAGCUGUCGGGCUCUUCCUUGCCUCAGCGAGACUGUGGGUGAGAAAGGAGCAAAGAUUUCCUUCUUAGAACAGCUGGAAAGUAAGUGGUUUUCAAAAAACACUUUCUCACUUAGCAUAGUUCAUGAUGAUCAGCUUAAAUGUAUUCUGGCAUUGCUGAAAGAAGCCAGCUAGAAAAGAAGGUGCCGGGAGGUGGUGGACUAGACGUGUGGAUCCGUUGUGUUACGGUGAGUCUUCCAACAAUCAGAAUCUGAUCCACAGUCAAGAGGCUGCAUUCAGCCACUAAGCGACUUAUUAGUUCUCUUUAGUCAGCUAGCUGCGUGGUCGUUCAGUAAAUGUUGAAGGUUUGCCAAGCACUGGGCUCCAUGCCAGACACUGGAAGGCGUUCUAAACUAAUAAAUGACUAUCACUGGUCAUAAUGAUGACUAUAACUACCAGGUUCUUACUUCUGAGACCGAAGAGGACAGUUUAGUUAUUUAAAAAAGCAUUAGGAAGACACUACCCUCAGAUGUUAGGAACAGGGGUGCCCCUCGAGUUCCACACAGCCCUGGUCAAGAUGCUUGAAAUGUCCCCGUAGUCUAGCGAGUGCAUAAAGCUCUUAGUAGGCCGGCCAGCUUUGGGGGUUGUCAAAACACCCUCAGAAACAGAAGCACGCCCCCUCGAGUAGGAAGGAGCUGUGUGCGAUGUUCGCUUGCAGUAGACCAAGUGAGCAGUAGGAGUCCAAGUCAAAGAUUCUCACGGUCUGGCCCCCGCCUUUCUCCAGGGAAAGAAAAGGCACUGAAGAAGUCUGAAGUAGCAUUCAGAAGACCAAGCACACAAACCCGGUGGCAACGCCUUUCCCUUGAUAGCUCAGCCGAAGACGAGUUUAAGUCGACAUUCACUAGUCAGUGUAAGCCAAAUGGUGGGAAAUCGAGGCAGCAGAUAAAAAGGCUCUCUACAGAGCUGUGCUCUCUCUUCUGUCCCGCCCUCUCGUUUCUGUCUGGGGCAGUACCAGACAUGGGCAUGUGGGCACAAAUACCAGGUCACAGAAGUCUUGCUUCACUUCCAAAAAUGCCUGCCGUCCUGUGCUGUUUCUAGAAGUGAUCUCUGAAAAGUUCUUCACACUUUUUCUUCCACUAGAGAGCUGGCAGUCUUCCUUUCACUUCUGAGGCAGGUGUACAUUGACUCCUGACCGUGGAAGGAGGCCCACAAAGUACCACGGAAACACUACGCUAAAGAAAGGAGGAAGGAACCAAUUUGCUGGUCUUCGGAAACAGCAGCUGUUUCCGCCGCUGCGGGGUUUAUAGAUGAGGCCCUUGACUCCCCCGGUCUCCACAUGACCCAUCAGGACUUCGUAAUAUCUCUAGCACUCACCUUAAUUGUAUUUUGUUCUUCGGGAUAUGUCACUAUUGGGCAAGAAGGAUUCAGAACUGAGAGCGAGAGCAGAGCCAGUCAAAUUUACUUUAGAUGAGCUACCAGAGCUGUUUCCCAAGACCUUCGACAAGAGUAUAGUUAGGUGAUCCUGUCAUUGUCUAGAGAAGGGAACACCCACAAAUAAAAGUCGUUUUUUCAACUCGGAGUCAGUUUGUAACAAGACUCAGAAUAGUAGGCAGUGCCCUUUUUCUCUCUGUUCAUCGUUAACUCCUCUUUUCUCUCACAGCUGAGUGGUAUUUGGGGGGGGGGGGGGGAGGAUGUCUUCCUUAUAGCAGUAAUCCCAAGGAAUGUUAUUAGAUGUUACCAGAGAAAAGUAUGUGUGGGGGAGGGGACUCCACAGUCAAUUAAAAUUGAGGAAUGUUGAGCUUGUUUUCUGUAGACCUUGGAAGAAUUUCCAGUGUGCUACUCUAAGUUGUGAUUUUAUUUUAUUUAUUUUUCUUAACCAGAGCACUGUUCAGCUCUGACUUUUGGUGGUACAGGGAAUUGAACCUGGGAUUGUGGAGCCUCGGGUAUGAGAUUGUGUUGUGAAUUUGUAAGAGGAAACAAAGACUGUGUCUUCCUCAUUGCCCUUAAAUGGCCCCUUGCAUCCUGCUUCCUCAAAUAAGUUUUCAGUUACUUUAGAAGACACACACACACACACACACACACACACACACACCCAUGGAAGUUCUGGCUCUGUGGCUGUGGCUGUGGCUGUGGCUGCGGCUGCGAUCAAACCAAGGUAGAUCUCCAAGUUCAGGGAGAAGUCAGGAGACGCACUCGCUGCCGUUCAGAGCUAUAUGCCGAUACGCCGGAUGUAGAGAUUCCGUCCCGCCUGUGGCGUGCAGAGGUCGGCAUUUGUGCUUGGUUUUCAGAUGCUGUGCAGAAGGCGCGACACGUCUACACCACGUGCUCACGAUGCCUGCUGUGGCACUUUGUAGUUUGCGGGCUCUGGUCACAACGGCCCUGUGACUCAGGCACGUGUUAAGCACUAGUGGCUGGAGCACUGCAAACUCAGGUUUUGAUGUGCCGUUGAAGUUCUGUGUCAGAGGAUGAUGAAGCCAGAAUUCAGCUCUGGCUACAGGUCCACACCUUCUUCCUUUCUUUCUUUCUUUCUUUCUUUCUUUCUUUUAUUUUUUGUGUGACUUUUUAUUUUACAGUGAAUGGUGUGGUACAUGGUUUAAAGUAACAACAUUCUUAGUUUACUGUCAAACAUUCUUUUUUUUUUUUUUUUUUUUUACUGCAAUGACCCAGGAAAUGACAGCUCUUGAUAAUGACUGUCCCAGAGAAAGCCGGACCUGCACUUUGCAGUGCUGCGUCUUUAGGCAACCAAAGUGGAAUUCAGAUACCGUUUGAUUUUAAAACCAUGCCUGGGUGUGCAACUGUAACUGCUUCUGUAACUUUCUGAAAAUGUCUCCUCAUCCCUGUGUUCUUCGGUAUGAUGGUUUGAUCACUGUCCCGCCCUCUCGUUUCUGGGGCAGUACCAGACAUGGGCAUGUGGGCACAAAUACCAGGUCACUUGCUUCACUUCCAAAAAUGCCUGCCGUCCUGUGCUGUUUCUAGAAGUGACUCUGAAAAGUUCUUAACACUUUUUCUUCCACUAGAGAGCUGGCAGUCUUCCUUUCACUUCUGAGGCAGGUGUACAUUGACUCCUGACCGUGGAAGGAGGCCCACAAAGUACCACGGAAACACUACACUAAAAAAAAAAAAAAAAGGAAGAAGGAACCAACUUGCUAGUUUAUCCAGUACAGUAAUAAUGCAGUCCUUUAUUCCCACAAAUGCUGUUUCUUAGCUUUAACUUGCUUCAAUAACCUCCUGAUGUAACUCCCUUGUAAAUGUAAAAGUUUUAUAUUUUGAAAUAAAGCGAAUGGUGUUGAAUGCA